CUAAGGCUGGGGUCCCCUCAUCCUCAUUCCCUUGGAAUCUCCUAGCAUUGACUAGGCAUUCAAGGAAUGUUUAUUUAUCGAAUGGAUAAGUGAAGAAAAAAAAAAAAAACACAUAAACUUGGUUAUGUAAGAUGUGGCUUUGCCUGUUGGAAUCAGUAACACGAGACUGUCAAGCCGAGCGAGCCCGCCACAAUUUCAUGUACGCUGGCAGGAGACCCGAGACUCCUAGGUGUGAGAUAAAGCACAGUGUAUCAUUCACAGAAGCAGCAGUAACCAGAGUAUCAACAUUUCCUGUAGGUUCCCAAGCCUCCACGUCCACGGGGGAACAUACAGAGGGCCAGGUAGCAUCUGCACAGGCAGCAGGGGUGCAUUACUGGAGAGGAAUCCUGAACGUAGGGAACCCAAUCUUUUAUAAUGGGCUGUAAGCCAGCCUGAUCAUUGCUGGGGGCGGGGGGGAUGUAUUACCUUUAUUAUACCAGACACUCACCAAACCUGCCCUUUGCUCCAGAGGGAGACACUGCUUCUAUAUUCACGGCUAUUCUUUCCAAAUUGUUUGAUUGUACAGAGACGUUGAAAAGACAGCCCAGAACAAAGGCAGUCAUGCCUCUGCUCAGAAGAUGCUCAGAAAUGUGGGAAACCCAAGGGGAACGGUCUUCUCCUUGCAAAGCUUGUCUUCCUUGUCUGUGUUUCACUACCAAUUCCUUUAUCCUCUCCUCCCCAUCACCACCAUCCUGAGAAAAACUCAGAUAAUAUUAGAGCCCUUCAUACACAUGACUUUCUUUGGAGAAAUAGCCUAUCAAUAAGUCAACCCAUCCCAACUGAGAAAUGUCUGUGUGGUUAACCCUGUUUCUGGAAAUACGGAGCUUUUAUUCUCAAACUGGGGUACCCCUCCGUCAGUGGGGUUUCUAGUGAUGUACCAAAGGGCAAACUAAGCAUGGAAUAAAAACAGAAUGCUUUCACGGCUUAUACCUUUCACUAGAAAAAUAAAGGUCCAUUAGCUAUUAAACACAUGCAGUGCAAUACAACAUUCUUAAGGGUUUUACAGAUAAAGCCAAGGUUUCUUUGGACUGCGCUGCUGCUUCUCUCCUGAGCACAGAUGACCUUUUUGCCCCUGUCACUUUAGUGGAAACUUUUAAAAGCCAUUUUAUAGAAUAGCGCAUUGCAAACAAUGGGCCAUGGUCUGUUCAUGGAUUGUGAAAUCAAUCGGGUGGGUCUUGACCGACAAUUAAUAAAAAAAUAUAAUAGAAUGGACAAUAUCAGAGGGCAUCAUAAAUAUAAGUAUUGUCUUAUUCAACAUAUCAGGUGUGUGUAGUCUGUAUGUAAAUGAACUGAGCUGCAAUGUUAAAUGAAUUUAUCACUAUGGGUUUCAGUUCUAAGAGUUUAAAAGCUACUACUGUAGAGGGUAUUAUAAAGCAUGAUUUUUUUUUUUUAAACCCACAAACAUUUUAAAAUCCAUUAGGAGAGGAGAACAAAAUUAGUGCUAAAUUUGCAGAUGACAAAGCUGAAAAGAAGAGCAAAUAGGAUGGACGGUAGAAUAAAAAUUUCAAAUAAUCUUGAAGGAUUAAAUUAGCCGCAGAUGGGACAUAAUCAAAAUGAAGUCCAGAUUUUAUAUUUGAAAAAAGAAUUCCAUCCAAUUAGGGGAACUGCUCUUUCCAGAUGAAGGUAGAUUACAGCUGGUCUGUAUUCACAGAAUAUUUAGUCUCAUCGGCAAAUCUUUUCUUCAGUUUGGAAUGGGGUUUCGUUGGGAGAGAGGUUUUUUUCAGAGGGCAUCUAGAAGAAAAGGCUUUGCAAUGUGUGUCUCUUACCUGGACAAGGGAACACUUAGGAAAUAAAGGAGAUAACAUUUAUUGAUCACAUACUCUAUUUCAGGCAGCCUCACAGCUGUCUUUAUAUACUUGGAAGGUAUCAGCUGAAGAGGUGGACUGGGGACUUUGUGUGGCUUCAGACAGCUGCCACAGCUGAUAAGAGCUGCCAUUCACCGAGUGCCUACAGGGCACCAGGCAUUGUAAUAGACGGGUUACAACAUCACUUCCAACAAUGUAACAACCAACCCCAUUUAUCAAGCUCCGACUAUGUGUCAGACCCAGUGCAAAGGCUUUUCCUUGGACCUUCUCUUUAAUCCUCCCAGCUCUCUUUCGAGGAAGAUGCUAAUUUUUUCCCCAUUUGCAAAUGAGGAAAGUGGGUCUCAGCGAGGGAGUUACUGGCCUGAUAUUGCAGUUAUUAAGUGUGAAGAAGGACACUUUAGGCAUUAAAAACUGCCCCCAAAUGGGGUGGGGUGUUGCUCAAAGAACUGAGGUCAUUGAUCUUGGAACUAAUCAGGUGGGAAAUGCCGCCUAUUGAUCAGGGCUCUUUUACUGAAAGUUGAAAUCCAGAUGUAGGAAGGUGACUGUAGGCAGUUGUUCCCAGGGAAGAGUUCCUGGAAGAGGUGGGAUUUCUCUUGGUCCCUGACGGGAGAGUAAGAAGGUGGUAGAAAGACCAGGGGUGGACCUUCAAAGGAGGAAAUUUAACAGGAACCAAAGAGUCCUGUGCAGUGUGAAUUGUAUCCAAGGGAGAAUGAGGAGAGCUGUCUGUCUGAGUUUGCUUCACCACCAACCCCUUCUUUGUCUAGUUUCAUUUUGUAUUGUGCCCUUGACAGCAGCAGCCCACCCAAACUAACUCAGCACCAGGCUGGAGACCUGGGUGUGCUACUGCGAUUCUGCAUCUCCUUGGCUUGGGUAGUUUUCUACUGUUUCCAACUAAAUCCCGCCCCAGGGAGGCAGUUGCACAAGUGAAAUUUAGGCACCUGCUAAAAAUUCUAAUAUUACCUUUUCAGAAAUCUCCUAGUUUCCAGUCUGUUCCACCCUGCCAUGGUCUAUCAGUUCUUUGAUGGAAAGCUUUUAGUUUCAGUGAUUGUACUCCAGGCCUCCCAGGUAAGAGACUUUGGGGUAAGAGCCUCUAGGAAUCCCUGCCAUGUUGGAGUUCCGUUGGAGGCUUGAAAGCUUUGUGGUGACCAUUUGACUUAUUUUGCAUUUGUAUCUCUCACUUCAUGUAUUAAUUUUUUACUGCUGCCUAACAAAUCACUGCCAAUGUAGAGAAUUAAAACAACUACCCCUGCCCCACACACCAAUUUAUGAGCUGGAAGUUCUGUAGGUCUCAAUUAGGGGCCAUAGACAUUCCCUGCCAUUGACCCCCUCCAUCUUCAAAGGGAUUCCCUUAUCUUCUGUGCUUGGAAUUCCUGACUUUCUCUUCUGUCUUCAGCUGGAGAGAACUCCAGCCUUUAAAGGCUCCUGUGAUUAGAUUAGGUCUACCCAGGCAAUCUCUCCUUUGUUUAACUCAAAGCCAGCUGAAAAAUCCCACUAAGUAUAGCCUGAAUCCUAAUCACAGUGGAGGUAUGUCAUCCUAUCACAAAUCCCACCCACCCUCAAAGGGGAAGGGAUUAUAUGAAGGUGAAAGUCACAGGGGUCAUCCCAGGAUUCUACCUGGCACCUUAGCAAACUCACUACUGUGCCUUUCAUCUCCCUGCCUGAAUGUCAGUGAGUGCGGGUAGAUACUGAGACCUAACCUACUCCCCACAUUAGCCUUCUUUGUGUUAUUGUUGGUCUUAUUUGAUUUUUAGGCCAGCACAUCUGCUGCUACUUGGAUUGUGCAGCAACUGGCAUACCUAAUAGGAUUUCCUAAGUAUCACUCCAUCUUGCACUGGCUCCCCAAGUGUCACCCACCCAGCUGUCUGAUAAGACAGGCUGAUUCACUGCUCACUGCACCACCUCGACAGAGCUUUGGCAGUGUCUAAAGGAAGAGGGCAAGGUCAGAACUUAUUCGAGUUUGGAAGAUGGGGGAAGGAGGUCUUUCCUGUGUAAGUGUGUGGACGGAUGUGGCUAAUUAGGGCUGGAUAAGGAUCAUGAAAUAAUGGUCCUGGGUUGUUGGAAACAGUGAGGCAAGGAUUUUUGAGGUGAGGGAUUUAAAUAAGCUGGGUUUUGAGGCAAGGGAUUCAAAUAAAGUAAUAAUUCAAAUAAGGGUCCAAACAUUCAAUGCUUUUUUUAAUGGAAGGGUUGAUGGGUCUUUUGGGAAAUUGUUGGAAUGAACAAUCAAGGCAUUGGCCUGGGCAAGAGUGGUCUAGAACAGUCACAUCAUAUUACCAUGCACUACGUUGUGAUGUGUAUGUGUGUGUACGGGGUAAGUAAGGGCAGGCUUCAAUCUCCAAGCUAUAUGUGGUGUAGAUGACUUGGUUUCUCUUUUGGAAAUUGAUGUAGUUACAUUUUAUGAUUAUAAAAAUGUAAAUCAAAACAGACAUUUUUAAGAAAUGGGAAAAAAUUUAAAUUAUCCAGAAUCCUAUCUCCCAGAGUUUGUACUUUGGAUAUCUUUGUCCACUUUUGUAUUCUCAAACAUCCUAAGCAUUUUCUUAUGUCAUUAAAUGUUACUUAAAAACAUAAUUUUCAGGGGCGCAAAACUAUUGUUUUAAGAAUGUGGAAUGAUAUUUUCACAUAAUUUCCUGUUGUUGAACAUUGAAGUAAUUACUUUAGGCAAUGUGGCAAAGUAUAUAUCUUUGUACUUUUCAUGAUAGAUCCUUAGAUGUUGGAUUUUUGUUAGAGAGUAUGAAAAAAUUUAAGGCUUUUUAUUACCAAAUUUAUCUCUUGGAAUCAAUUUCAAUUUGUAUUACCUCCAAGAGACUGUGAGCUAUCAUAUCUGGCCGCAAUCUUUCCCACCAUCAGCCCUUUAUCAUCUUUCAGUCAAUUUGAUACGAGGUUGAACCUCUGAGCUUGCUAAUAACGGUGUUUGACCCACAAAAACACCAAUUUCAUUUAGUUCUACCUACUAUAUUAAUAGUAAAGAUGAAGAUACCAGCAAACAUUUACUGAGCCCUUAAGGUCCUGCUCGGUGUGAGUGGGGAGCCCUGCAUCCCCAGCAAGAGGUGGAGGGAGGCUGGCUGUGCUUCAUGUGCUUGGUUAAUCUCCCCAGGGAGUGGAUUUGGUUCUAAGCAUCUCCAGGUGUGGUUAUGUCUAUGCAAAUGUGACUAUUAUUUAGAGUUUAUGCCUCCAAGAUAACUUUUUUUAGGAAGCUAGAAAGCAAGUCAUUUUAGAAUUCUACCCAGGUGAGAGAGGUUGACCCUUUGGUAUUGUCUUUCUUCUAGAUAGGAAACAAGGGCUUGGAAGCUGGGAUUUACCAUCUCAAUAAACAGAGAAGGAAACUGGUUAUCAGCUGUUGCUUGAAGUUUUCUAGCUCGAUUCUUAAUUCCCUGAGACUGAGACUUGGUUCCAGGCUAACUUUGAAGAUCCAAGGGACAUCUUUUCCCACAUGGAGCUUGAGGUUCUGCUGGUCCUCAGGAAUGAGUCUGGAAGGCAUGGGGGAGAGUGUGGUGGACGUUUCUGCCAGUCUGACUUGGUUCCACUCUGAGAGGACUUUUCUUGCUGCAAAUUUCUCUUCCGGCUCGCAUCAGCUCCUGGUGCCCUUGAGCUCUUCAAUCUCCUUACAAGGCU
rnacentral:lncRNA from 1 species